rnacentral:rRNA from 1 species
GUAGGUGGCAAGCGUUGUCCGGAAUUAUGGGCGGUAAAGCGCGCGCAGGCGGGGGUUCGUUUAAGUCUGAUGUGAAAGCCCACGGGCUCAACCGUGGAGGGUCAUUGGAAACUGGAGAACUUGAGUACAGAAGAGGAAAGCGGAAUUCCACGUGUAGCGGUGAAAUGCGUAGAGAUGUGGAGGAACACCAGUGGCGAAGGCGGCUUUCUGGUCUGUAACUGACGCUGAGGCGCGAAAGCGUGGGGAGCAAACAGGAUUAGAUACCCUGGUAGUCCACGCCGUAAACGAUGAGUGCUAAGUGUUAGGGGGGUUUCCGCCCCUUAGUGCUGCAGCUAACGCAUUAAGCACUCCGCCUGGGGAGUACGGCCGCAAGGCUG